rnacentral:rRNA from 1 species
GACGAACGCUGGCGGCGUGCUUAACACAUGCAAGUCGAACGGAAAGGCCCUGCUUUUGUGGGGUGCUCGAGUGGCGAACGGGGGAGUAGCACGUGAGUAACCUGCCCUUGAAUUUGGGAUAACUUCAGGGAACUGGGGCUAAUACCGGAUAGGAGCUCCUGAUGCAUGGUGGGGGUUGGAGAGUUUCGGCGGUUGUGGCUGGACUCGCGGCUUAUCAGCUGGUUGGUGGGGUAGUGGCUUACAAAGGCUUCGACGGGUAGCCGGCCUGGGAGGGUGACCGGCCUCCUGGCGCCUGCGGGACGCCCCAGACUCCUACGGUACGCAGCAGGCGGGAAUAUUGCACAAUGGGCGGACGUGUGAUGUAGCAACGCCGCGUGCGUGAUGAUGUCUUUCGGGUUGUAAACCGCUUUCGCCUGUGCCGAAGCCUGCGUGACGGUAAUGGGUCAAGAAGCACCGGCUAACUACGUG